ACCGAUCUGGUUUGCCUGCCAAUGUUAGUAAACCAAGAGAAAUAUCUUGUUUUCUCAAAACCGAACCAGAAGCCUCUGACCGAGACAGAGACUUCAUAACUCCGCCAUCUCCAACAAUGUGAUACCUGUCAUUUCUUGGUGUCAUGUGACUCGUGCACCCUAGUUUUUCCGGUUAUUGACAGAGCCUCUGUGACGUCUGUUAUAUGGCUCUCAAUCCGUGGUGUUUUUGUUCUUACCACCAUUGCCUCUCCUUUGUUGUUCAGAUCUCUCUUUCUAGAGUGGCAAUCUUUUUUGUAUUGACCUUUGUUGCCGCUGUUCCGACAGUCAAAUUUGGUUUUCGACUUAGAUCUCGAUCUAAAUUUCUUGUUUCCAUCGUUUUCCCUCUUCUCAAGUCUUCCUCUAGUCGAUAGCGCUUAUGUAGUGUUCAUAGUUCCUUUUCCAUGAGCCAUGAAUUCAAGCUCCUUGGAUCUUAUUGCAGCAUUUACUUCUUCUAGAGUUAUCGAUGUUCCCGAAUAUUUGACAACUUCCCAGAGUUGUUCAUGAGGCGGGGGAAGAGAGAUUAAUAGACAGAUUGCCUGAUAUUCUUCCUCCACCCGAACUUAUAAGUUGCAAAGGUCCGAAAGGAUCCUCUGAAAAAUGUCCAGGUUUUCCUCGAUCGUUUUGCAUCUUUCAACCUUGCUUUCAUAAUUUUGAUUCUUUAUUCCUUCUCAAUAGAUCUGGAAGAGUCUUGACCUUGCGGCACUGUCCUUCUUGCAGCAGAUUUCUUACACAAAUUUGCUCAACCUUUUUCCGAGUAUUCGGAAGUUUUGGAAUCAUCCGCUAGUGUAUUUGAUAAACCCAUCAUCUCAAGUUCAAUCUGGAUCUUCUCUUUCAACAGAACAAAAGUCUCAUCCUGCGAAUUCGAUCUGGGGGUUUCGUCUUCCCUGGCUCGCAACCGGAUCUCCGGUACCACCGCCAAACCCUUCUACGCUUGAACGCUCGCAACGUGGAACCAACCAAAGGAACACGACAUACAAGAACAGCAACUGUUAUAGGCCAAGGCACAGUCAACAAAUUUAAGGUGUCGGACCAAAGACUCAAAUACUCUCAAUAUUUACCACUUAUCGCCGACGAACAACGCAGCCCCCGGUCCGUAUUUUUCCUCGACACCACCACGUCAUCAAGUCUUAUUUCAAUUGUGUAUAUAUUUACGUACAUUAGAGGUAGGCUGUUUAGGCUAAAGGCAUAUGAUUGUGUAGUAGGAUAUGGCCAAUUUUGUAACAUCUUACCUCAUGGUUGUCUUAUUAAAUUAUAGAUCAAU